GUUCAGGAUGUUUUUUCGGGCGGAGCUAAAACGGUGGCUCGAUGACGCACUGGAGCCACUGAGCUCCUGGCCCCUCCCCAAACAACAUAACUAGAGCACACAUUCGCAUCAGUUCGCCGCUCAAUCGCGAGUUUCUGUGGACUACCAUCGUUUAAAUACCUUGACCGGAGCAUAACUGGUUAACUUCACACAAGAGACCUACUGUUGGACAAUUGUUUUGGCUUUAAAGGAGAAAGUCAUCGCUCUGUAAUUGGCCCUUGGACUCCCCUGGCAUCUCGUGUACAGCAUGAAGUUUUCAGCUAUGAAGAUUUCCAGAGACUCCAGAAUUAAAAAG